rnacentral:rRNA from 1 species
CAGUCGACGGCAGCACAGGAGAGCUUGCUCUCUGGGUGGCGGCGAGUGGCGGACGGGUGAGGAAUACAUCGGAAUCUACUUUUUCGUGGGGGAUAACGUAACGUAGGGAAACUUACGCUAAUACCGCAUACGACCUACGGGUGAAAGCAGGGGAUCUUCGGACCUUGCGCGAUUGAAUGAGCCGAUGUCGGAUUAGCUAGUUGGCGGGGUAAAGGCCCACCAAGGCGACGAUCCGUAGCUGGUCUGAGAGGAUGAUCAGCCACACUGGAACUGAGACACGGUCCAGACUCCUACGGAGGGAAGCAGUAA